AUGCUUACCUUGCAGAGGAGAUACCUUCAUUCAAGAAGGUGGUUUGCCCAGGGUUUAGCUCAUUCAUUACACUCAGGUGUCCUGACUUCUGUGAUUUCCCCCAAAUGUGGGAAACUCCACUGUAGAAAUUUGUUGCACUAGGAACUGUUUUUGUGCUUACUCUAG